AUAUUGAGAAGAGGUUCUUCUGCUACAGGUAACAACUCUUUCAAUAGUUUAGUGGGAAUGGGAUCUAGUAAGCAUGUUGUUGGUUUACAUGAAAUGAUUAGUUUAUUUAGUUCUCCUUGUCCUAUAGUUGUAAAGCACUGCAGGUUAUUUUUUGGAGCGAG